rnacentral:rRNA from 1 species
GAGACUCUGUGCGCGUGCAUAUCAAUAAGCGGAGGAAAAGAAACUAACAAGGAUUCCCUUAGUAACGGCGAGUGAAGCGGGAAGAGCUCAAAUUUGAAAUCUUCAAGGUUUACCUUGACGAAUUGUAGUUUAAAGAAGUGUUUUCUGUUGGAGUUUUGGUAAAAGUUCUUUGGAAUAGGACAUCAUAGAGGGUGAGAAUCCCGUAUUUGACCAUUAUUUCCAGCUGUGUGAUACUACUUUCAAAGAGUCGGAUUGUUUGGGAAUGCAGUCCAAAAUGGGUGGUAAAUUUCAUCUAAAGCUAAAUAUUGGCGAGAGACCGAUAGCGAACAAGUACCGUGAGGGAAAGAUGAAAAGAACUUUGAAAAGAGAGUUAAACAGUACGUGAAAUUGUCAAAAGGGAAGCGUUUGACACCAGUGUUGUUUUUCUCGAAAAUCAAUUAAAAAUUGAUUCAUGCCAGGUUGUAUUGACCUUAUCAGCUUGCAAUUUGGUUUUGGGUCUCUUUUUGAUGCACUUUUCGGUUAACAAGUCAACAUCAAUUUCCUUUGCUGUAAAAAGGUAAGAGGAAGGUGGCUUCAAUUUCGGUUGAAGUGUUUAUAGCCUUUUAUCUCUGCAGUCGGGGAGAUUGAGGUCUGCAGCGUAGAUCCUUCGGGGCUAGAUACAUUUAUGCUAAGUUAUAGCUUUUCAUAGACAACUUGUUGACUAUGUUUAGUCAUGUAGCUUACUCGUAAGUGCUAUUUUACCUACGCUUAGGAUGUUGAAGUCAUCGUAUCGCGC